rnacentral:lncRNA from 1 species
AACGACAACAACCACAGAGACAUCUGGAUCUGCCGCAUAUUUACAUACACAACGGUAAACAGAGGAACGAAACGACGCCGUCAAAAACAGUACCCGAUUUCCGAUUCAGGUCCGGUCACUCCGGUUCUUACUUUGACUAUGGUGACUAUAAUGACUGUGUUGGCUCCGGUUGUGGCCUGAAACGGCGCUGUUCCCUUCCUUCUUCUGCGGGGCGGAGAACAGCUGCCCGAACCCGAAAACCGACCCCGACUUGGACGACCCGCGAAGCGAACAGACCGGAACGUUGAGAACCGGCGUCACUCUGACGUUGGCCGAGUAGGACCGCUCCAUGCCUCUGUGUUUCAGCCUGGGCCCACCGUUGAAGCUACUCGGGCUACUGGAGCUCCGCUCCAAGCUCUGAAACACAAUUUUUCCAGACGAGUUCAUUCUCGGCGAGUCCACCGAUACGCCCCUGCUCGCGACUGUAGCCGAUUCCCCCACCGGCCGCCUCAUCG